rnacentral:rRNA from 1 species
GACUACCCGCUGAACUUAAGCAUAUCAGUAAGCGGAGGAAAAGAAACUAACAAGGAUUCCGUCAGUAACGGCGAGUGAAGACGGAGUAGCCCAAGGUUCAAUCCUAGAUCUCUUCGAGGUCGGGAGAUUUAACCUACGGACUGAAGGAACUCGGUGUCGGCAUCUGUUAAUUCCUUUUGGAAUUUAGAGCCAUUGAAGGUGAAAGCCCUGUUCGCGGGUGUUGACACUUAGACCAUACCUUUAGCUCCACGAGUAGGAAUGUCUGAAAUUGCAUUCUGAAUGGGUGAUAAGAUUCAUCCAAGGCUAAAUAUAAGUUAGGAGAUCGAUAGCAUACAAGUACCGUGAGGGAAAGGUGAAAAGAACUUUGAAAAAAGGUUUAAAAGUAUUUGACACCGUUUAUGUGGAAGCGUUUACUUGGACCCCAAAUGAAGAUGUCUGCUUAGCUCUAGUUCUUAGAGGAUCAAAGUAGAGGAGUAUGUGCUGAUUAAAAGGUGGCAGCUUCUUGUUCAUUGGUUCUCGUUGAGGAAGGUAUUCUAAGUAGGCCAGUUACCAACAUGCAAGAUUCGAUGUUUAUAAAAUGCUGGAUGAGGCAACUAGCUUGCUAGGUGCUCGCCGGUAAUAAUGGAUAUUGGGUUUUGUAAAGAUUGCAGAAUACAGGCAAUUCACUAUGAACGAUUGUUAAUUUUGUUCAGUCGGCCUAGCUCUGUCCAUAUAGGUGGCUUGCCACUUGUAUGGCUUGUGUGACGGCUGGAUUUAAUGUUGCGGUUUUUGUAGUGCUUGUAUUUUUGUUGGAGUGGGUGCAAUAAAUGUCCCGUCUUGAAACACGGAUCAAGGAGGCCGUUUUAUGUACGAGUGUAAGAGUUAUUAAAACUCGGACGCGCAUUGAAAGAGAGAAUAUUCCUAAAAAUCGUCUCUACGGAGGCCUUUUGUCAGGAAUACCCGAAUCAUGAGAACUCUGUUUCGAAAGGAUUUGCGGUAGAGUACAUAGAAUGGGACCCGAAAGGUUGUGAACUAUGCUUGAGGAAGGCGAAGCCAGGGGAAACUCUGGUGGAGGCUUGUCGCAAUGCUGACGUGCAAAUCGCUUGUCUAACUUGAGUAUAGGGGCGAAAGACUAAUCGAACAACCUAGUAGCUGGUUCCUUCCGAAGUUUCCCUCAGGAUAGCUGGAGCAGUAUUCUAGUUUCAUCUUGUAAAGACAAUGAUUAGCAGUUUCGGGGGCGUAAUGCUCUCAGCUGAUUCUCAAACUCUGAACAGGUGAGGCAUACUAAU